rnacentral:lncRNA from 1 species
CUUUACAGUGAAUUACAGCACUGUGAAAACAUAACACUAUGUGAAAACAUAUUAUAUUACAGAUUGCAUCAUAAGGUGGUUUGAUUAAUUAGACAAUACUAGUUUCUGUUGACAUCAAGUAUUCUUACUUUACCAAAUCAAAUUAUAAAGAGUUUCGCAACAAGAACAAAAUGUUUUUCACCAGAGGAAAAAAAAAAGGUAAUUAUGUUUUGAUAUCAUGGCCCCAGUUCUCAGGUUGCACUAACCUGCACUCCGCAAGAGAUUCAUGGAAUGGAUUUUACAUGAGUCUCCACCAGACAGAGCUUCCUCUGCACUCAGGAAAUUAUGGUUUCUGUGUAUUACAAGAAAAAACAAGCUGUGUCAGAGCUGCAAACCAGGUACUCCAUCUUCAUCAGCAUAAUUUGUUGGGUAAACUGCAUCUGGCUCUGUCUGUAAGCAGUGGGAUGUCGACUCUUCUUGGAAGGAGACAGAUUUGGGACAGAGGAGUUGACAGAAGUGGCUGCUUUUCAUAGGUGUCACAUUGAACUGCUGCAGUUUUUGUGGGCUGUGUCCCAACCUUUCCUACACUAUGAGUCUGCUGCGUUACAUCAAUACAUAAAUGCACAGUUAGAGAUUCUGUCCAUUUUGUGUGUAUGUUCAAAGAUCUUGCAAGAACAAGGGAAAGGGCAAAAACCUGUUUCAUGUGGCUUGCUAACUGUGGGUGAGCAAAAUUUGCCUAGAGUUCAAGCACAUCUCACAUGCAAGCCGGACAGCUGCCUGGGGAACUGCCAGUCUGGAGGUGCAAGUGAUUUACCUUGUGUGAAGCCCACCACACAGUUGCUCCAAAAACCUCUCUUGAACAUGUCUUCUCCUCUAGCCCUACUGCUGCAAAAAUCAUGUUGUGCAUUUUCCCAUCUUUGCAUCCACCUCCAUGUUGCAGUUAAACCUAUAGUGAGUAAUUAAUUUUACUCACUAAGAAGCACCUACAAAAGUUGACAGUUCGGUGUGCCCUGCACAUCUUUUCUGACAAGGAUAACAACCUUUUGAUUUUGCAGCUUGUGCUUCUUGCAAACCUGCCUUCAUUUUCUGAUGUUUUGAAAUUAUUACAGAAGUCUAACCAAGGUAAAUAAAAACAAUUUGACAAUAAUCA